rnacentral:rRNA from 1 species
GAUGAACGCUGGCGGCGUGCUUAAUACAUGCAAGUCGAGCGAACAGACGAGGGGCUUGCCCCUCUGACGUUAGCGGCGCACGGGGGAGAAACACGUGGAGAACCUACCCAUAAGACUGGGGUAACCUCGGCAAACGGGAGCUAAUACCGGAUAAUAUCAUGAACCGCAUGGUUCAAUAGUGAAAGACGUUGUUUCUGUCACGUAUAGAUGGACCGGCAUCUCAUUAGCUAGUUGGAAAGGUAACGGCUUACCAAGUCAACGAUGCGUAGGCGACCUGAGAGGGUGAUCGGCCACACUGGAACUGAGACACGGUCCAGACUCCUACGAGAGGCAGCAGUAGGGAAUCUUCCGCAAUGGGCGAAAGCCUGACGUAGCCAUGCCGCGUGGGUGAAGAAGGCCUUCGGGUCGUAAAAUUCUGUUAUUAGGGAAGAAAAAAUGUGUACGUAUAUCUGUACUUGUUGACGGUACCUAAACAAAAAGCAACGGCUAACUACGUG